AUUGAACGCUGGCGGCAUGCCUUACACAUGCAAGUCGAACGGUAACGCGGGGCAACCUGGCGACGAGUGGCGAACGGGUGAGUAAUGUAUCGGAACGUGCCCAAUAGUGGGGGAUAGCCCGGCGAAAGCCGGAUUAAUACCGCAUGAGACCUGAGGGUGAAAGCGGGGGAUCGCAAGACCUCGCGCUGUUGGAGCGGCCGAUAUCAGAGUAGGUAGUUGGUGGGGUAAAGGCCGACCAAGCCUGCGAUCUGUAGCUGGUCGGAGAGGAUGACCAGCCACACUGGGACUGAGACACGACGCAGACUCCUACGGGAGGGAGCAGUGGGGAAUUUUGGAGAAUGGGCGCAAGCCUGAUCCAGCCAUGCCGCGUGCGGGAAGAAGGCCUUCGGGUUGUAAACCGCUUUUGUCAGGGAAGAAAUCUUCUGGGUUGAUACCUCGGGAGGAUGACGGUACCUGAAGAAUAAGCACCGGCUAACUACGUGCCAGCCGCCGCCGUAA
rnacentral:rRNA from 1 species